UUGGUUCUCCCGCAACGCUACUCUGUUUACCAGGUCAGGUCCGGAAGGAAGCAGCCAGGGCAGACGACGUGGGUGCCGGGAUGUAGCUGG
rnacentral:SRP_RNA from 1 species